AACGCUGGCGGCAUGCUUUACACAUGCAAGUCGAACGGCAGCGCGGGCUUCGGCCUGGCGGCGAGUGGCGAACGGGUGAGUAAUGCAUCGGAACGUGCCCAGUAGUGGGGGAUAGCCCGGCGAAAGCCGGAUUAAUACCGCAUACGACCUGAGGGUGAAAGCGGGGGACCGAAAGGCCUCGCGCUAUUGGAGCGGCCGAUGUCGGAUUAGCUAGUUGGUGGGGUAAAGGCUUACCAAGGCGACGAUCCGUAGCUGGUCUGAGAGGACGACCAGCCACACUGGGACUGAGACACGGCCCAGACUCCUACGGGAGGCAGCAGUGGGGAAUUUUGGACAAUGGGGGCAACCCUGAUCCAGCCAUGCCGCGUGCGGGAAGAAGGCCUUCGGGUUGUAAACCGCUUUUGUUCGGGAAGAAAUCCUCUGGGCUAAUACCCCGGGGGGAUGACGGUACCGGAAGAAUAAGCACCGGCUAACUACGUG
rnacentral:rRNA from 1 species